rnacentral:lncRNA from 1 species
CGCAGGGGCCGGGAGCAAGUGCACGCCGCGCGGAGGACGAAGAGGCUGCACGCACAGCCGCUGCCGGGGGUCGGGGCCAAGUGCGCGCCUCGCCGAGGACGAAGAGGCUGGCGUGCCCGGUGGCUCGGCUAGCUCCCGGGUCCCGGCCCCGCCUGGAGGAUGCGGCUGUGGGGGAAUGGGAGCGGCCGGACCUCCCAGCCUGACAGUGCAUCAAGAGCUUUGCGGAGCCUACAGCCCGGAUGGGACGACUGAGGCCCUCCCGCUGGCGAGCUGGCCGAGGGCUCGUCCCUCUCCAGCUAAAGCGCCAGCUUACGAUACAGCCAAACUGCC